CAGCACCUCAAGUGGUCAGGAUGAUUAUUGGGCCUAAAGCAUCCGUAGCCGGCGCUGUAAGUUUUCGGUUAAAUCUGUACGCGCAACGUACAGGCUGCCGGGAAUACUGCAGCGCUAGGGAGUGGGAGAGGUAGACGGUACUCGGUAGGAAGGGGUAAAUCCUUUGAUCUAUUGAUGACCACCUGUGGCGAAGGCGGUCUACCAGAACACGUCCGACGGUGAGGGAUGAAAGCUGGGGGAGCAAACCGGAUUAGAUACCCGAGUAGUCC
rnacentral:rRNA from 1 species